UUUAGAAGAAUUUGUAGAAGCAUUUAGAGAAUAUGACAAGGUCCAAUAGAUAAUAAUAAAGAUUUGUUCAUUGUAUCAAAGAUUACCCUCUGUAUUAGUUUAUAUACUUGAUUUUAGGCAAUUGGCUUGUGACAUCAAUUAGAAUGAAUAAGCUCUUAUGAACCAAUUCUAUUGGAGACUAACAAAUGAUAUGAAAGAACUAUUAUUAUUAUUAUUUGAUCUUUAAAUAAUCAAUGAAGUUAUCAACCUUGCUGAAAAGUGUGAUAAUCAAUUAUUUCAAUUCUAUCAAGAUCAAUGCUUGUGGAUUUUGACAAAGCAACACUUUAGAAAUUUGUACUUUGUUGCUUCAACUAAUAUAUUACUUUCACACUUUAAAGCUGAGGAUAUGAAAAUUGAUGCAGUAUAAUUCAAAUUUCUUAUAAUAGAGGAGAAGAAGCACCAAUUUGAAUGAGGCCUAUACUUGUAUUAUGGUGAAAGAGGCCACAAAUUUAGAAAUUAUUAAAAGAAAUAAUAUAUAGCUAGAAUUAAGAGUGCAAUUGUUUAAGAAAAUAAAGAGAUCUAAUCACAAUAAAGAUCAUGAGGAUGGACAUUCUAACAAAUCAAAUUUAUCAAGGUUCAUUUUUUUAUCUAACUUGCUCAUUAUUUUAUCAUACUUUUAAUUCUUGAUCUACAAAAACUUCAAAUUAAUGUUUUAUUAGAUUCAAGAGCAUUUUUUUAUUUUUUAGAUGAAGAAUUUUUUAAACUUCAUAAAAAAAUUUUAAUACAAAAAUAAAAACCUAUAUAUGUGGAAGAAAUAGAUGAUCAACCUUUAUCUUUAGAUAAUAUUAUUUAUGAGACUAUAUUACUAGAAAUAUCAUUUGAAGGCCAUAGUAGAAAAAUAACAUUUAAUAUUAUUAAAAUUCAAUUUAAUUCCAUCAUUUUAGGACUUUUGUGAUUAGAAAGAUAUUAUCUAUCUAUAAAUUGGAGGUUUUAUAAGAUUGAAUUUCCUAUAGAACUCUUCUGAAUAAAACCUAUCAAAAAGUCAUCAACAAAAAAACUCUUAUUUCUAAGAGCAAGGACUUUUAUGAAGACGGUAUCAAGAAGGUGAGCCUCUUCAAGAAAAUACAAGGUCCUUGAUUACAAGUGGAUUAUAAAAAGCACAAUAUUUUUCAAAUGAAGUCAAAUACAAAAAGAUAGCCAAAGGCCAACUACAAAAUUUAGACUAAUUUCUUUCUUAUAUCAAGAUAUAUCUAACUCCUAAUUCAAAUCUUAAAUCCAUACCUCAACUUAUUAAAAUACUUAUAAUUCACUUAUUACUAAUCUAAUCUAGGUAAAAUUUAGCUUGUUGAGGUUAACUCAAGCUAUAAACUUCAUAUUGUCAAAGUCCAUAAAUAAUAUCUUGUAGAAAUGAAAUCUAUACUAAGGAGAAAAAAGAAUUGGCUGCUUGUUGAAAUUAUUGCUUCAAAAUCCUUGUCUACAAAUUAGCUUGGAUCUCCCUCAUCAUAGCUCUUCUUUUUGCAUACUAAGAUUUAUUAGAAAGCUAAUAAUGAAUUCUAGUUUUUCCUAAAUUUUCAAAAUAAAAUAAAAUAAAUCUAAUAAAUAGCAUAGAAAGAUCCAAACUAGUCUUGAAUUUUGCUACCCGAAAGCUCUAGCAUAUCCCCUCUAAUAAAUUCAUGUGAAUAUCCCUCAUCACAACUCUUCUUCUUGUAUGAAAUAGCUUAUUAGGAAGCUAACAAUAAGAUCUAGUUUCUCUCAAAUUUUGAGAAUAAAAAAAAGAAAAUUCAAAAAAAUACCAUAAGAAACUUCAAACCAAUCUUGAAUCUUGCCUCCUCGUGAAAACUCCAAUAACCCCUCUUUUCUUUCUUUUUGAUCCUAGCCCCUUCUUAGUUUCAAAAAAAAAAAAAAAAAAAAAAAAAAAACUUGAUACCAAAAAUCCCUAUUACUAAUUCUCUCCCAAUAUCCCUCUUAAACCAUUAUAGAGCUAGAUAUUUAUCCUAAAAACAACCCUCUAGCUUGAAUAAUCCAUUCAAGUUAUCAAUUUCAUAUUUCUAAAUUCUAUUCAAAUUAUAAAUGUAUUACUAUUAUAUUCUUCUUUUUUCUUCCUAUAAGUAAAAUUAAUUAUCUACUAAAUAUCUUUGAUGUAUUUAAAUUAAGUGCAUCAUGACAUUUACCCCCUUCAGACCUAUACAAAUCCUUGUAUGUGCCAAAGAAUUUGACCACAAUACUUCUGCCAUUAGAAUUAGAGUCAUUAGGAGCCAUAUCACUUUUUAAUCAUUGAUUUAAAUAUUAAAGCUCAAAAACUCUAAAUCCUCUACAUAUUUCAUUCUAUCUUAUUGCUUCAAGAUUUUAAUUUGCUUUCUUAUAAUCUUUGUCUUCAAUGGUAUCCCAUCUAACUCUCAAAAAGAAUAAGUUUCAUUUUCAUAUACUUCAACCACCACAUAGGAUCCAAAUCAAUGCCGUGCAAACUUACAAAUAGUAGAGUAUUUGUGCAUCAAACUACUAUCAUAAACCAAAAUCCAAUCACCUUCUUUAAUUGGCUUAGGCCUCAAUCAAAGAGUUUUAUCAAAUCUUUCUUUGUUAUUCAACCUUGUUGCUUUAAGCCUCUCUAUAGCAACUUGAUAAUUUGAGCAAACUUUCUAAUUAGCUAAUUUGAAGCUCCAAAAUUUUUUUUCUAUUAAUGCCAUCUUUUCAAGAAAAAAAUAGAUUCUUUUGUAGGCAUUAAGGACUUUUGCUCCAACAUCAAUUUUACUUGCAUAUAGCUAGUAAUUGUGCUAUGAAUAGUUCUAUCUAUCCAUAAAGUAAAUGAUAAAAGCCUAGGCUAUAACCUUCAUUGACUCUUAUAUGCUUUAAUCAAAGUUUAAAUAAUUGAAGGGUACCUCCUUUCACUCUUAUCAUUAACUUCAAGAUUAUAAGAAGUGAUCAAUUUCAAUUGCAUCUCAUACCUUAUAAAAAAAUCAUGUAUCUUUGCGACAUCAAGUUUACCUCAAUUUUCUCUCAUUCUUCUAAUACUACCAUAGUGAUAUAUAAUAUCCUCCAAAAUAAAUUGACAUAGACUUUGACCUCAAUGUCUUUUCUUUUACAUAAUUAGAAAGAUCUUCUCUUGCCAAAAUUAAAUACUUUAUGGUCUAAAGUCCCAUUGAUAUAGCAACUAAGUCAAUCAUCCAUUGAAAAUGAAUAACAAGUAGAUAGGUAGGGCAUAAACCAUCUCUAUACUUCACCUUGGAUUUACAAUUGGUAUUUUUUAUAAGAAUUUACAAAUUCUUCUAUAUUUUUAUAUAAAUCCUUCUACCAAUAGUGUUCCUUGAUCUUAGUAUAUGUAGCUCAAAUUUCUCUAUGUCCAAUCCACAAUGUAUCAUAAAAUUCUCCCAUUACCUUGUAUUCAGUCUCCAAAUCAUCCACUAUUCUCAAUGAUACACCAUCUCUUUUUUUUGGCCUCUUCUACAAGAAUCCAUCAUAUAAAAGAUAGUUGUAGGAUUGGUGCCUAAUAUUCUUAAAGAUCUUAUCCAACUAAUCUUCUUGCUUCGUUGUAGUGCUCAAAUACAAGUCAUCGUCUUUCAACCUCUUUUCAAACAAAUUAAUUCUAAAGGGUAGAACUUCAUCACCUUGGUCUUAUCUACUUGUGGCAAAUGCAAAGCCUUGUACCAAGUCUCCAUCUUCCUCUUGUGCAAGCAUUUUUUUCUCCUUUGAGUACCUAACUCUAGAUAACAUAUCCACUAUCAAACUCUUUUUGUCUAUGAUGAGCACUAAAAUAGGUUUUAGAGACUUAAUAAAAAAAAUUCAUCUAACCAUAGUAAUAUUUGGUAUAGUACAAUUAAAAACCAUUCCAAUUAGACGCGAGCAAUUAAUUUCUAAUACCACAUGCACACCUAUUAAGUAAUUUUUCUUAGUCUUCAAUGUGGUGAGUGUACUCCAAAGCUCUCUUUUUACCUAUAGAUAAGCUCUUUACUUCUUGGUAAAAAUCCUUAGUCCAAAGCUAAUUGUAAACUAAUUUCUUUCCUUAUCAUCUUGUCUAAUAAUCUAUCCAAUGGCUAUGGGACUUGUAUCAACUGUAACUAUUACCAGUCUUCCAUAAUUAUAGUCUACUUGCCUUAAUAUUGGUAGUAAUUUCAAAACCACCUUUAAUUCAUCCAUGGCCAUCUCUUAUUUCUCACGCCAUAUAUAUAUAUAUAUAUAUAUAUAUAUAUUUAAUAAUUAAUACAAAGGCUCUGCAAUAUGAACAUAAUAGAAAAUCCAUAUUUGAUAAAAUAUACAAGCAUCCAAAAAUCUUCUUACCUUGGUGGUGCUCCUACAUACUUUCAUCUUUGCUACAACAUUUAUCUUCUCUAGGUUUAGUUUCCUUCUAUAGCUUCUAUAUAAAUGUCUAAUAAUCAUAAUUUUUUAAAAUCCAAAUGUAAAUUUUUCAAGAGAUGAAGUGAAAUUUACCUCCUUAAAUUUCUUUAAAAUGCAAUCUACAUCUUUAAUAUGUUCUUUUACAAAUAUAUGACAUCCAUCCUCUUUCAAAGUUAAAUCUUUAGUUUCUUCUUUGCAACCCUUGAUUGGAACAUCAUCUAAUAAAGAUAUGAUAUUUUCUAGCACAAGCCCCUUUAAAAUUUGAUUCAUUGCAUUUUGUAUAUGAACCAUUGAAUUAAUUGCACCUUCUGGCAAAGUAUACAUACGCUCUAGAUCCAAAAGAAUUUUCAUACUAGUUGAUUCUUUAUUCUCUUUUGCUAAUUGAAAUUGAUCAUAAUCCAAAUAUAAAUCUCCACUACAGUAAAUAGUGUGCCCUGCAAAAACUUUUACUACUUCAUCUAUCAGUAAUCUACACCCCAUAUUCUUAAUAGUCACCUUAUUGGUCAAUUGCAUGUCUUAAAUGAAUCUAAGUGCCAUAGAUUUCUUUGGCACAAUGAACCAUCAAUUGAAAUAAGGUACAAUAGAUGGUUCAAGGAUGUCUAUCUUGACCCUUUCUUUUAAUAAAUCUACCAAUUUAGGAAGCUAAGUCUUUGGCACUAGAAUAGGCUUCAAGUUCCAAGGCACAUGUAGAAUAGUAAAAAUAACCAUAGGUGCUACUAUAUUAGAAUCUAUACAACUAAUUUCUUUCGCUGCAAAUACAAAAGCCUUACCAUAUUUGGAGAACAUCUCUAGUAACUUCUUCUUCUCCAUCUCAGUCAAAAAUUCAUCUCCUUCAAUCUUCAACUUAUCCAAAGACUCUUUAGUAAACUUAUGACCAAUCUUUCUUGACUCCCUCAAUCUCGGCUCCAUGGUAGCUUAUUUAAUAUGCUCUUUGGUAUCUUGAGACAAUUGAGUUAUCAUGGGCUUCACCUUCUUAGCCACGGUCUUAUACUUAGUAUACAGUAUAGCUUCUUGUAAUAUCACAUGGCUAUCAACUAUUCCAAGCCUCUUAGAAAAUUCAAAAACCUCCUCAUAUAAUUAUCUUAAAUGAAGCUUUACAACAUCAUUAGCUCUAUUUUUAUUCAUAUGUAAAGUAAUUCUUCUAAAACUUUUAUAUUAUCAUUUUCAAGUCCUUCUUCUUCAAUAAUACCUAAAAUACAUUCAUUACUUGAAAUUAUACCAAUUUUUUUUAAAAAAAUCUCAUAUUUCUUUACCUAAUUUUUAUACAUAUGAUCCAAGUUUUC
rnacentral:lncRNA from 1 species